UGAGGAAUAUUGCGCAAUGGGGGCAACCCUGACGCAGCAACGCCGCGUGAGUGAGGAAGGUUUUCGGACCGUAAAGCACUGUCGAGCGGGAAGAAAUGUAUCGUGGCUAAUAUCCAUGAUAUUUGACGGUACCGCUAAAGGAAGCACCGGCUAACUCCGUGCCAGCAGCCGCGGUAAUACGGGGGGUGCGAGCGUUGUUCGGAAUUAUUGGGCGUAAAGAGCGUGUAGGCGGCUGAAUAAGUCAGAUGUGAAAUCCCUGGGCUUAACCCAGGACGUGCAUUUGAAACUAUUCGGCUAGAGUAGGGGAGAGGAAAGUGGAAUUCCUGGUGUAGAGGUGAAAUGCGUAGAUAUCAGGAGGAACACCGGUGGCGAAGGCGACUUUCUGGCCCUAUACUGACGCUGAGACGCGAGAGCGUGGGUAGCAAACA
rnacentral:rRNA from 1 species